rnacentral:rRNA from 1 species
GACGAACGCUGGCGGCGUGCCUAAUACAUGCAAGUCGAACGCAGUGGGGACGGGUGAGUAACACGUGGGUAACCUCCCAUCAGAGGGGAUAACACUUGGCAACAGGUGCUAAACCGAUACUGAUGGAUGGACCCGCGGUGCAUUAGCUAGUUGGGGAGGGAACGGCUCACCAAGGCCACGAUGCAUAGCGGACCGGAGAGGGUGAUCGGCGACACUGGGACUGAGACACGGCCCAGAGUCCUACGGGAGGCAGCAGGAGGGAAUCGUCGGCAAUGGACGAAAGUCUGACCGGGCAACGCCGCGUGAGUGAAGAAGGUUUUCGGAUCGUAAAGCUCUGUUGUUAAGGAAGCGGUACUUAACCAGAAAGCGACGGCUAACUACGUGCCAGCAGCCGCGGUAAUAAC